GUUUUUAUUUAAAGAUUAAUCAGUUAGUUUUUAUUUGUUUUUUUUUAUUUUUAAUAAUUCUGUAAGGGGAGUUUAGUCUUUUUGGGUUUCCUUUUGUAUAAGGCGGUUUAGAUUAGUAAUUAAUUUAGUUUUUAGAAUAGAUAGGAUCUUGGGAUAUAUUAUUUACUUUAGAAGUAUAAAAAUUUUCUCAUGGAGUGAAACGCUUAAGUUUAUUUGAAUAUCUAGUUUUUUUAUUUAAAAGGGUAAUCCUUUUUUUAUUAUGAUUUAUUUGUUUAUUUUAUUUGCAUUAAUGGUAUGUUGUAGUGUAAAAACUUUGUUGUUUUAUAUUUCAUGGUUUUACUUAAUUUUCUAAUAUUAUAUUGAUUAGGUUAUGAGUAGUUAAUUUGUGUGGUUAUUUUAUUUUUAUUAUAAUUGUUUUAUAAAAAUUUAUAGAAUUUGCUUUUUACUUGCUAAUAUGUUUAUUUAAAUCUUAACUAUGAUUUUCUUAGUGGUUUCUGCCCAAUGAGAUUUUAAUGGCUGUAGUUUCUACACUAAGGUAGCAUAAUCAUUUGCCAUUUAAUUAAUGGCUUGUAUGAAUGGACUUUUUAGUGAGUUAUUUUGGGUUGUUGUGAAUUUAUAUUAUCGUUGAAAAUAACGAUUUUUUCAUUAAGACAAAAAGACCCUAAAAUUUUUAUAAUUUUAAUUAUUUGGUUGGGGCAAUAGAGCAAUUUUAAUAUGUUGAUAUUAUUGUUUUUUGAACUUUUAAAAGAUAGGUGGAAAAAUACUUUAGGGAUAACAGCUUUAUAAUCUUUUUAAGUUCUUAUUAACGAGAUUGUUUGGGACCUCGAUGUUGGAUUUGAGAAUUCCUGUUGGCGUAGGGGCUUUGUAGGUUAGACUGUUCGUCUAUUAAACUCUUACAUGAUCUGAGUUAAAGUCGGCGUGAGCCAGACUGGAUUUUAUCUAAUGAGUUGAGUGCAUACGAUUUAGUACGAAAGGACCUGUUGUAAAUUAUAGUAUUUUUUAGUAUUUUAAG
rnacentral:rRNA from 1 species